rnacentral:rRNA from 1 species
AUUGAACGCUGGCGGCAUGCUUUACACAUGCAAGUCGAACGGCAGCGCGGGCUUCGGCCUGGCGGCGAGUGGCGAACGGGUGAGUAAUUCAUCGGAACGUGCCCAGUAUUUGGGGAUAGCCCGGCGAAAGCCGGAUUAAUACCGCAUACGACCUGAGGAUGAAAGCGGGGGACCGAAAGGCCUCGCGCUAUUGGAGCUGCCGGUGUCGGAUUAGCUAGUUGGUGGGGUAAAGGCUUACCAAGGCGACGAUCCGUAGCUGGUCUGAGAGGACGACCAGCCACACUGGGACUGAGACACGGCCCAGACUCCUACGGGAGGCAGCAGUGGGGAAUUUUGGACAAUGGGGGCAACCCUGAUCCAGCCAUGCCGCGUGCGGGAAGAAGGCCUUCGGGUUGUAAAACGCUUUUGUUCGGGAAGAAAUCCUCUGGGCUAAUACCCCGGGGGGAUGACGGUACCGGAAGAAUAAGCACCGGCUAACUACGUG